rnacentral:rRNA from 1 species
UACGUAGGGUGCAAGCGUUAAUCGGAAUUACUGGGCGUAAAGCGUGCGCAGGCGGUUUGUUAGGCCAGAUGUGAAAGCCCCGGGCUCAACCUGGGAACUGCGUUUGGUACUGGCAAGCUAGAGUACGGCAGAGGGGGGUGGAAUUCCACGUGUAGCAGUGAAAUGCGUAGAGAUGUGGAGGAACACCGAUGGCGAAGGCAGCCCCCUGGGCCGAUACUGACGCUCAGGCACGAAAGCGUGGGGAGCAAACAGG